GACGAACGCUGGCGGCGUGCUUAACACAUGCAAGUCGAACGGAAAGGCCCUGCUUGCAGGGUACUCGAGUGGCGAACGGGUGAGUAACACGUGGGUGAUCUGCCCUGCACUUCGGGAUAAGCUUGGUAAACUGGGUCUAAUACCGGAUAGGAGCCAUCUUGAGUGUGGUGGUUGGAAAGUUUUUUCGGUGUAGGAUGAGCUCGCGGCCUAUCAGCUUGUUGGUGGGGUAAUGGCCUACCAAGGCGGCGACGGGUAGCCGGCCUGAGAGGGUGUACGGCCACAUUGGGACUGAGAUACGGCCCAGACUCCUACGGGAGGCAGAAGUGGGGAAGAUUGCACAAUGGGCGCAAGCCUGAUGCAGAGACGCCGCGUGGGGGAUGAAGGCCUUCGGGUUGUAAACUCCGUUCGCUAGGGACGAAGCUUUUUGUGACGGUACCUAGAUAAGAAGCACCGGCUAACUACGUG
rnacentral:rRNA from 1 species